rnacentral:misc_RNA from 1 species
CUAGACUCGUCGUUCCACUUCUACCGUUCUACGGCACCGGACUCGCCGACUCAUCUCCCACUCCCAGCCUUAUCCUCUUCCUCGAUCGCAUGCAUGGUCCUCAUUCACAUACAAAGAGAUAGAGAAAAAAGAGAAAAGCUUGCGAGCGAUGGUGACUAUGUCUGGCACCCGCACCGCCCUGGCGCACGAGGGCUUGGAUUAUGGUCCCAGGCUGGUGGCGCCGCGCCGCAGCAGGCUAAGCGUCGUCGCCGUUGCGGUGCGGACCAGGCCGGCCAGCCUCGCAGUCCCGGGCCUCCCGCCCCCGACGCCGGAGCCCGUGCUGCCGUCGCCGCCCGUGGCCGCAGGCGUCGCGGCGGUGCUGCUCGAGGCGGGCGUGCCGCCCGCGGACCUCCGGCGCGCGGCGGGGAUGUGCCCGGAGCUGCUGUCCGUGCCCGCGGAGGCCGUCGCGGCCGCGCUCCGGUUCCUGACGGAGGAGGCGGGCGUCCCGGAGGCGGAGCUCCAGCGCGUGCUCCGGCGGCGCCCGCGCCUGCUCGUGUGCCCCGUGGCGGCGCGGCUGCGGCCCACGCUCUACUUCCUGCGCGCGCUCGGCGUGCCCGACCUGCACCGCCGCGCCGACCUGCUGUCCUUCUCCGUGGAGGACAAGCUGCUGCCGCGGAUCGAGUUCCUCGAGUCGCUAGGCCUGCCCGCGCGCGCCGCUCGCUCCAUGGCGCGCCGCUUCCCCGCGCUCUUCGGCUACGGCGUGGACGGGAACAUGCGGCCCAAGGCGGAGUACCUCCUGGGCGUGGGCGCCAUGGGCCGCCGCGCCGACGAGCUGUACGAGUUCCCCGAGUACUUCUCCUACGCGCUGGCCGCGCGCAUCGUGCCGCGCCACGAGGCGUGCGCCGCGAGCGGGGUCGCGAUGCCGCUGCCCGCCAUGCUCCGCCCCGGGGAGGCCAAGUUUCGCGCCACGCUCGAUAGCUGCGUCGGGUCCACGCUGCCCCGGAGGCGGUCGGCGCUGUGGCACGCCACGUGGGUGGACGACGACGCGACGGCGGCGAAGGAGACGAUGGUGUGACGUGCGCAUUAUAUUGGUGAACGGAGGCAUUAAUUCUUGCUUGGCUAUACUUGGUUGUGCUUAUAUAGCCAUGCAGGUGAUUGUUACCCUGAUCGUGUGAAUAUACACUCCUCCCAGAGGCUUGGGCGUCAGUCAAGAGCACUCUUUGUGGACAACUUUUCCCCCCAGUUCUACUAGUGGCCCAACCAUUCUUGCCAACCACCCAGGAAAAAUAAUCGGGGUGCGAUCAUCUGACCCAACCACUCUCUUGCCCUUCAAAUAAAGCAGCACGAUCCACCCUCCACCUCAUCCUCGCCACAACACAACCGCCAAAGCACUAGUAUUACGGUACGUGACAGAAAUAAACAAAUGCACACCGGCUUUGCUUUGUGGCCUUUUGUGCAUAAUAGGUGUUUGCCGAACGAAUUGGACGAGUGAAUGAGUGAUACAUAUUUUACAUAUAAUCGUACACUACGAUGACACACGAUUAUAUUUGCCCCUGCC